AUUGAACGCUGGCGGCAGGCCUAACACAUGCAAGUCGAGCGAGUGGCGGACGGGUGAGUAAUAUAUCGGAACGUGCCCAGUAGCGGGGGAUAACUACUCGAAAGCGUGGCUAAUACCGCAUACUAUUGGAGCGGCCGAUAUGGGAUUAGCUGGUGGGUGGGGUAAAGGCUCACCAAGGCAACGAUCCGUAGCUGGUUUGAGAGGACGACCAGCCACACUGGGACUGAGACACGGCCCAGACUCCUACGGGAGGCAGCAGUGGGGAAUAUUGCACAAUGGGCGCAAGCCUGAUGCAGCCAUGCCGCGUGUAUGAAGAAGGCCUUCGGGUUGUAAAGCACUUUCAGCGAGGAGGCGUUACUCGCAGAAGAAGCACCGGCUAACUCCGUGCCAGCAGCCGCGGUAAUUC
rnacentral:rRNA from 1 species